UGGGCUUGACAUCCCGAGAAUCCCCUGGAAACAGGGGAGUGCCCUUCGGGGAACUCGGAGACAGGUGCUGCAUGGCUGUCGUCAGCUCGUGUCGUGAGAUGUUGGGUUAAGUCCCGCAACGAGCGCAACCCUUGUCUUUAAUUGCCAUCAUUAAGUUGGGCACUUUAGAGAGACUGCCGGCGUUAAACCGGAGGAAGGUGGGGAUGACGUCAAGUCCUCAUGGCCUUUAUGCCCGGGGCUACACACGUGCUACAAUGGGUGGUACAAAGAGCAGCGAGCUCGCGAGAGUAAGCGAAUCUCAAAAAGCCAUCCUCAGUUCGGAUUGAAGUCUGCAACCCGACUUCAUGAAGUUGGAAUCGCUAGUAAUCGCGGAUCAGCAUGCCGCGGUGAAUACGUUCC
rnacentral:rRNA from 1 species